rnacentral:sRNA from 1 species
AUACGAGGGCAAUUGGAUUGCUGCAUCUAUCAUCUAUCGCUGCAUUGUUUGCUGGAAAUGAGUUGGCUAAUUUGUCUGAAUAAGACAUGUGUCCUCUUCCUAAUACAUCCUUCCUUAGAUAUGUGUGUAACUCCAAAAGCUAUGCAUUUGAUGGAGAGGGGCAUAUGCUCAAAUAAACAGGACUCUUCUUCAAUCAAGGGUAUAUUAGUAACUAUAAACCUUUGUUGGAACCUACACAGACAGCUCUUAAACAAAACCUCAAUGAGGGGCCUCCCUG